CAUGGCCCUUUACCCAGGGUCGAGAUUUUACUUAACGACCAAUGAGAAAUGUCUUUAUUUGCAAACUAUCUCCCGUGGCACCGGUCCAUGCAAAACGAACUCGCUUUCUUUCGUACGGGGCAGGAACAUUCUCAGCCAAUUGGAAGCGUAAUGUUGAAGUUGGCACGGAGACCUCAUGAAUAUUACAAGCAAGCAAAUUGACUGAUACUUAAAUUCAAGUUCACAAAUAUUAUACCCUCUCUGUCCAAAGCCAGGUAGCAACAACCACACAUAUCAAGACGGUGACAUCAAAAAGAAACCAUAAUGACUGAGAAACUUCACUUCAAAGUCGAACAACCCACCAAACAAGGACCAAGCAGCGUGAAAAGGAGGAACAGCGAUUAAUGGGGAAAUGGACCUGGGAGGAGGUAUUAGAUGGAGCAGGACCCUGGACACAGCUGGGAGAGUAUCGCAGUCCUAAGGAGGAGUUAGAGGCAGCGAAAGCGGUAAGGCGAUACUACGAGGAGAAAUACAGGAGAAUAGAGGAACAGUGACGAUAUGAAGGUACACAGCUUGUGUGUUAUGCAGAGAUGCGCAUGGUGUCUCUAGUGCGCUAUUCUUGCCCGGUGCGCUCUAUUCCAGCUCCUCUCAUUUGCCAGGCUAGAAUGGGCAUCCAGCCAGGACGUAUUGAGCCAGCUCUAUGUUCUGGAUCUCCAAUGCGUCUCCACGGUCCAGUGUAUCUUGUUCCUCCUCCCCGCACUUGCCCUGAGGUGCGUGUCAUCAGCCCAGUACCACCAGUGCCAACACCACGCACCAGGCUUCCUGUGCGCCUCCAGAGCCCAGUAUGCCCUGUUCCUUCUGCCCGCACUCGCCCAGAGGUACCACCAGUUCCGGCACCAUGCACCAGGUCUAUAGUGCGCCACGGCAGUCCAGUACACCCUGUUCCUGCUCUUCCCACUCGCCCUGAGAUGUGUGUCCCCGUGCCAGCACCAGGCCUACAGUGCGCCUCGGCAGUCCAGAGCAUCCGGUGACCGUACCCAGUCCAGAGCGUCCGGCGACAGUACCCAGACCGGAACCUCCAACGACGGGACACAGUGCGGAACCUCCAACGCUCCCCAGCCCGGGGUCUCCAGCGACGGUCUGGGGUCUCCAGUAACGGUCCCCAGUCCAGAACAUCCGGCGACGAUCCACGCAGCGAGGGUCCCCAGCCCGGGGCCUAUGGUGAGGAUCUGCUGUCCAGAGCCUCCGACCAUGAUGAUCCAUGGGUCGGUGCUACAAGAGCGGACUCAGAGUAAAGAAGGGGGGCGGCGUCCAGAACCAGAGCCGCCACCGAGGUUAGAUGCCCACCCAAACCCUCUCAUAUAGGUUUAGGUUUGCGGCCGGGAGUCCGCACCUUUGGGGUUUUUUGUCUAGGGUUUUUGUAUGUUUGUGUUUUUAUGUCUAUGGUUGCCUAGAUUGGUUCUCAAUCAGAGGCAGCUGUUUAUCAUUGUCUCUGAUUGGGGACCAUAUUUCGGUAGCCAUAUGCCUUGGAUAGUUUGUGGGUUAUUGUCUGUGUAGUUGCCUGUGUCUGCACUAGUUGUUCAUAGCUUCACGUUAGUUUGUUUAAGUGUUCUUCCUUCAUUAAAAGAAGAAUGUAUUCUAA